AGUUGUUUGGUCUAGUGGUUACGACGUCCCCUUUACACGGGGAAGGUCGCGAGUUCGAACCUCGCAUCAACUA
rfam:Pichia kudriavzevii strain SD108 scaffold00026, whole genome shotgun sequence.